rnacentral:lncRNA from 1 species
GAGUACACUGGAGCGCGUGCCUGCAGUCCAUGGUCCUAGACGACUAGGAGUUGAGAUUGUCCUGCAAUCUCCAGCUGCACUGCCACAGCCAGCAAGCCUAGGGCCCUGAUAUUGAGAGAUCAACUACUUCAGCCUCAGCAGUGUUGACUGGGGAAACACCUCGGUCAGUGUCAACUGCCUGGCCGCAGCGACUCCAGGAAUAAAGCUUCUAUAGCACUACAGCGGUGAUUUAAAAAUCCCAGGUCUGAAUCUCAGUUCCAAAUCUCAUAGGUCAAUGCGCUGAGGUCGUGCCCUAUGUAAAUGCAUGCAGGGUAGAUGGGAAGGGCGCCUUUGCGGAGCUGCGAGAGUGGAAAAAUUGGUUUCUCUGAAGAACCAGUUUCCUCCCUCGAGGGAUUUUUAAACUGCUAAAGUGAAAGAAA